AACUAUAUGGCGUCUGACUUCGAAUCAGAAGAUUGAGGGUUCGAGUCCCUCUGUGGUCU
rnacentral:tRNA from 1 species